rnacentral:rRNA from 1 species
AUUGAACGCUGGCGGCAUGCUUUACACAUGCAAGUCGAACGGCAGCGCGGGCUUCGGCCUGGCGGCGAGUGGCGAACGGGUGAGUAAUGCAUCGGAACGUGCCCAGUAUUGGGGGAUAGCCCGGCGAAAGCCGGAUUAAUACCGCAUACGACCUGAGGGUGAAAGCGGGGGACCGAAAGGCCUCGCGCUAUUGGAGCGGCCGAUGUCGGAUUAGCUAGUUGGUGGGGUAAAGGCUUACCAAGGCGACGAUCCGUAGCUGGUCUGAGAGGACGACCAGCCACACUGGGACUGAGACACGGCCCAGACUCCUACGGGAGGCAGCAGUGGGGAAUUUUGGACAAUGGGGGCAACCCUGAUCCAGCCAUGCCGCGUGCGGGAAGAAGGCCUUCGGGUUGUAAACCGCUUUUGUUCGGGAAGAAAUCCUGUGGGCUAAUACCCCGGGGGGAUGACGGUACCGGAAGAAUAAGCACCGGCUAACUACGUG